UUCUGUAUAUUUGUUUUUCGAAUGAAUUAAUACCCCUCUAUAUAGAAAGGAGAUAUAUAAUUACCAAAUGCAGCAAUUAAUCUUUAAAGUUUAGUUGUACUAAAAAGAUUUUCAACAGAAGCAGUUUACUUGCAAUUAAGCUUAGUGAGGCUUAUAUAGAAAACACAAUUUGCUACAGAAAACACAAAUUUUUACUGGGUAGCCAUCGUUACGCGGUCCAAACCAUUUUUUAACCCAUUUAACCAAUCACCUAAGGAACCAAGUCUCACACAAAUUUAGGUUAAUUAUCACCUUGAAACACAUCAGCUUUGACGUCUUUCAACUCAGCUCACAAUCAUAUAAGCUACCGGGAGUAGAAACAAAUUAAAUAAGACAAAAUAUACAUAAACAAAGGGAGUAGACAACGAACCAAAUUGAGAGCGUAAUACAUUGGAAACAAAGUUUUCUUGCAGCUCCGAUAUGAUAAAACGCAAGCAUCCGUCCUUGUCUUCUUCUCCAAUCUUCUCGAACCUGCAAACCAAAAACAUUUAAAGAAUCAUCACACAUAUCCCUACAAAGAUAAACACAAACUUUCAAACAUAAAACAAGUUAUACAACAAACACAGAUCAAAACAAUCUUGAAAAGUUGAAAUAAAACACCCAGAUCCCCAAAAUCAAGAAAACCCAAUUGAGAUUGCGACCAAAAUUAGGGCUACAAAACAGAAAUUAACCUUGAACCAUGAAAGGUGAUUGAGUUUCGACCCUUCUAUCAAAUGGUACACUCAUCACUGAUUGAUCUUGAUUCAAUGGUUAUUUACAUCAGCAAAUCCCUAAAAACAAAAUCAAUAUCAAAGCUUUGAUUUUAGGUUGAUGAUUUCUGAAUAAAAGACAAAUCAUGGGUAGUUUUGAGUUCUUGAGAAAAAAAUUAAAAGUUGUCGAUUCAAUUGGAGAAGUAUGAUACCUGGAAUGAAGGAGAAGCCGUGAUUGAAGCAGCGUAACAAAGCGGAGGGGAACAUGUGGUGGAAUCCUCACAGAUCUGGUCAUGAAACGGAUCUGGAAUUGAAAAGUCGAUCCGUGUGA
rnacentral:lncRNA from 1 species